AUUAAUCCCUCUCCGUCCCUCCUGUCCCCGACCAAACCCUAGAAAAAAAAAAAAAGGGGCAUUCGGAGAGAACGAAGGAAAGCGUCGGUGAAUCUAAUGGCGGAUUCGGCCCUGUUCGACACGGCGGUGAGCCACCUCUUCCACCUACCGGAGACGCUCGAGAGGCUCGUGUUCCCCUCGCCGCGNAUAUAUAUAUAUAUAUAUAUAUAUAUAUAUAUAUAAAAAAUAGAUUUUAUCUGCAGCAAAAGUAGAAGCACUAAAUUAGAGCGUCUACUCUGAGUUUGCGUCUACUCUAGGUCUCAGACUAUUUUUCAAUCCAGCCGCAGCAUAAGUACCAUUUUGUUUUUUAAUUUUUGUUAGAAUGUAAAUGCAAUGUAGGCGAAACGCGUUAUCCUAAAACAUCAUCCUUAGGAAGGACUAACAAUUCAAACUAAAAUUCAAACUCGAACAUAAAUUAUCUGGAGAUAACUUACUCUGACAUCCAAUACUUCUCCGUAAGAGACACGCCAGGGAUACAAUGUAUGGAUAUGCCCUAUACUAAUGUAAAAUUGCAAGUUGGUCCUUAUUAGCAGAGCCCAGUGAAACAUCGGAAUCAACCGGCCCGGACGAAGAAAGCCCAUCCCAAGCAAGCGCAGCCCAAUAAACUACUACGCUUGGGUUCAGAACGGAGAAAUGGGCAUAGGAUCAGCCCAGGCGAACUAUUACUGUUCUUACUAAAAAAAAUAAAAACAUAGAAAUAUAUGAAAAAAUAACACUAAUAACGCAACCUUAAACAAUUCAAAUAUUUGGGUCCGAUCACAAUUUAUAUAUCUAAAAGAGUUCUACUACUUUUCCCGUCUUCCCUGAAUACUGCUUUCUAAAAGACUAUUUAAUGCUUAUAAAUAAUGUAAUAGGAUAAAUAAAUAAUAUAAAGCUAUUUAAUUAAUUCAUACUGUAGGUCAAAAUAAUAAUAUGAUUAUUUUACAAAUUGACGUACAGGCGAUAGGUGAAGGUUAAAAAAAAGAAAAAAAAAAAAUCAGCAUCGAAUCCACUAGCCAACUGCAGCGAUAGGUGAAGGACCGGUCAAAAUAAAAUAGCCAAAAAAAAUAUAAAAAAAUAGAAUAAAAUCUCUUUUAUUCAUCCCCGCGCUCCAAGGAAACGGUUAUGUGAGGCAGAUCAACAGACAAAAAUUUUUUGAGCACAAUCCCCAUACUAAUAGUUUGGGACAGUGUGGAUGUACGCCACAUGGCCGAUCUGUCGGUUGCCCUUCUCUACUGCUUUCUCUCUCUCUCUCUCUCCCAAAACACAGGUUUUUUUUUUCUUUUUUUUUCUUUCAAUUGAUGGCUGUCGCGGAUGGACCACAUAGCAUCCAUAUGUAAAGUCUCCAAACGAAUUAAUUCGGGGAUCAUGUCUAUAAAAUUUUUGUAAUGGACAAUUUCUUAUAUAUUCCUUAAAAAUUUUCAACUUUCUGAUUUAACCAUCUUAGAAAGCUAAUAUUAAAAAUACUUUUUUUACGUUUUAACUUAUUUCAGAUAUAUCCCUAGAGUUAAAAUCUGUUAAUAAACUCUGUUAUCUGUAUAAAAUUACUAUUUUAUCCUUUCAAAUAUACACUUCCACCAUCAUCGGGCCUUAAGACUUCGUUUGGAAUUGCGGGGAGAUUACGUUACGUGCAGUGAGGUAGUCUCGCCUCCUUGGCCUUCGUGGCAUGCGAUGUCGCGAAACCCGGACCUCGACGCUAGAGGCGUGCGGAUUGAGUCGCGGGGGCGAAACGCGUGGGAGGCGAGACGCUUGGCUAUACUCAUAUUGUACAAGUUGGGGGAGAACUUGUAAUGUCCUUGGGCUGGCGACGAAGGCAGCAAGGCAUUCGGUUAUGAGGCACUCUCGAGGAGAGAUCGGUUGGCAAGACGGGAGACACCUAGCUUGGUGGCCAACCUCGGUAUUGGGGUUGCUCGUUGGGGACUCGAGGAGUCCGACGAGGGGUUCGAUUACAGGCNAAAUUACUAUUUUGUCCUUUCAAAUAUACACUUCCACCAUCAUCGGGCCUUAAGACUUCGUUUGGAAUUGCGGGAAGAUUACGUUACGUGCGGUGAGGUACGUUGAAAAAAUAUCCUGUUUGUUUCCGUACUUGCAUGUCGGUUACGAUAUAUAUUCUGCGGUUUCACUGGAAAACGCAGAAGCAUAUCCCUAUAUGCUUUUUACUUUUUUUUCUCAACUCCAUUUUAUCUAAUAGCGUUAACUAGGCCUCAAUACCAAGCUAAGCCUAAGUCAAGGGCACAAAAGAUAUUUUGACUUUUGAUCUUUUUUAAAUAUAUCCCUCUACCGUCAGCAACAUUUCUUAUUUGCCCUUAGAUUAAGGACAAAAUUGACAUUUUAAUUUUUUUUAACUAUAAUAGAUAUUUAACUAUUUUAGAAUAACGGAGGAACAUAUAAAAAAUAUAUUGAAAAAAAUAAAAAUAAAAAUAAAUGAUAUAUUUUUAAAGUUUUAAAAAAUAUAUAAUUUUUUUUUAGGGCAUAAAAUUUUUGUCGUGCAACAACACAUGCCUCCGGGGAAUCCGGAGUCAGCGGUAAUUUCACCUUCACUCGUAGUGAGUGUGUGACGCGACUCACAAUCGGGGAUCUUCUAGAUCGUUCGCCAGGGGGGACACCGCGUCGCCUCUCGAACGUUCCCUCCCCGCCUAUUAAUCCUUCUCCGUCCCUCCCGUCCCCGACUAAACCCUAGAAAAAAAAAAAAGGGGGCAUUCGGAGAGAACGAAGGAAAGCGUCGGUGAAUCUAAUGGCGGAUUCGGCCCUGUUCGACACGGCGGUGAGCCACCUCUUCCACCUACCGGAGACGCUCGAGAGGCUCGUGUUCCCCUCGCCGCGCCCCGACGAGGCCCACCGCGGCGUCCGCCACCGUGGCCACGGCGGAGGAGGCGGCGCCGCUGCCGAGCACGACGGUGAGAAGGGGUUCGGGAGCGUCCCCGCCGACGU
rnacentral:lncRNA from 1 species